rnacentral:tRNA from 1 species
UUUAAGGGAGACCUAACCACUUAUACACUCAAAGCAAAAAGCAUAUAAGUGAUGAGAAGGUAUAUCCCAGGUCGUGCGUAGACUAGGUAAUAUGAUGGGCUUUCAAACAAUUAUGGUUCGGUUCGUGGUAUGGGCUAUUAGCUCAGGUGGUUAGAGCGCACCCCUGAUAAGGGUGAGGUCCCUGGUUCGAGUCCAGGAUGGCCCACCUGAAAACAGUAAACAGUGGUCAUAAACAAAAUGAUAACUGAUAACUGAAUGUUGGGGGGUAUAGCUCAGUUGGUAGAGCGCUGCCUUUGCAAGGCAGAUGUCAGCGGUUCGAGUCCGCUUACCUCCACCAAAAAUAUAUCAGAGAGAAAUUGGAAAAUAUCAGCAUCUAGACUUUUAGAAGUCGGAGUGCUGGAUAGAAUCCAGCCAGAACCUUGAAAACUGCAUAUUGACGCGAAGAUUGAUUGUAGGCAGUACGCAAUUAGUAGCUAGUGAUAAAUAAUUAUUAGUUAGUGAUUGAGUCAAAAGCCAGACAUGAGAUUAAGUUGGGACGGGCCAUAUAUUGU